AGGCGCAGCACAGGUACGUGGGCGGGCGGAUCGUGGUGGCUGCGCUUGCGAGGACCCUGAGGUAGAUUGGGUGGUUUCAACAGGAACGCAUCCACUGUCUGAGAGUUUAAACUUGAUUUUGUGAGGGGACGAACAGCGUGACAAUUAAAAGAAGAUCUGGGAAUCAAAAGCUUCCUGAGGCCUUCACCAGAAGCAGAUGCUGGUGCCGUGCUUCUACAGCCUGCAGAACUGUGAGCCAAAUAAAGUUCUUUCCUUUAUAAAUUACCCAGCGUCAGGUAUUGUUUUAUAGCAAUGCAGAACAGACUAACACAGACACACACACCAACCAAGUACAGUAUGAGAAGGGAUUAUUGGGUGCCAUUUUGGAGGUUGUCUACCACAGGAUUUUAUCUGUAUCAUUAUUCAAAUUUCGUUUUUGAAAAAUUUUGUAAGGGCACAUUUAUAGAAAUAUGAAUGCUUAAUAUUUGAUGAUAUUAGGGAAUUAAACCAUUUUUGUGUGAUAGUAAUUUUUAAAGAUUCCUUAUCUUUUAGAAAUACAUAUUGAAAUAUUUAGAGAUGUAGUGAUAUAAUGUCUGGGGUAUGCUUCAAGAUAAGAGUUGCAGAAAGUGGGUGGUAGUAUAAAUCAAGAUUGGUUAUGAGUUGAGAAUUUUUGAGUAAUAGGUAUAUGGGGACUAAGUAUUCUAUUCUUCAUACUUUUACAUGCCGUAAAUCCCCACUUAUCUGCAGGGAAUGUGUUCCAAGACCCCCAGUGGAUGCCUGAAACUGAGAAUAGUACUGGACCCUGUAUAUACUGUGUUUUUUCUUUCCUUAUUGAGAACUUUUAUGUUUUCACUUAAAGGAAGGACUUUACAGCUUCUCUUUCGCAUAUCCAAAUUGCCAGCAUCACCGCUCUUGCACUCCAAGCCAUUAUUAAGUAAAGUAAAGAACACAAACACUGUGAUACUGCUACACUUGAUCUGAUAACCAAGAAGUCUACUAAGUGACUAACAGGUGGGUAGCAUAUACAGCAUAGAUACACUGGACAAAGGGAGGACUCACAUCCUGGGCAAGAUGGAGCAGAAUGGCAGAGUUCAUCAUGCUGCUCAAAAUGAUGUGCAAUUUAAAACUAAUGAAUUAUUUCUGGAAUUUUUCAGUUAAUAUUUUUGGACAUGAGGUGACUGCAGUUAACUAAAACCAUGGAAAGCAAACCCAUAGAUAAAGGGAUACUAUGGUAUGUUUUCAUUUUCUAUAAUAAAAAGUUAAAAAGGAAAAAGACACCAUAGGAAAAUAAAAGACAAGUCACAAACUGGGAAAAGAUCUUUGCAACACAUGUGACUAUCGAAAGGAUUAGUAUUCACACUGUGUAAAGAACCACUACAAUUCAAUGAAAAUGAAGAUAAUGCUUUCCACCCCAAACAGGCAAUUCAUACAGGAGAAAACCUGAAAAGAUACCCAACCACAAGGAAAUACCAUUUCACACCCACCAGAUGAACAAAAAUGUAAAAGUCUGGCAAUAUUACAAUUCUUAUACAUUGCUGGUUGGAGUAUGAAUUGAUAUAAUCAAUUUGGGAAACAAUAUGGUAUUAUCUAGUAGCUGAAGAUGCACAUCUUCUGUGACCCAGGAAAAAUGUAUAGCAGGAGACAUGAGCAAGAAAAUUCAUAAUGGCAUUUAUAACAGUAAAACGUGGAAGAAAAUCCACUGUCCAUCAACAGUAGAGUGAUUAAAUACAUUGUAUAUGCUCAUACAGCAGAAUAUAGUGGUGGAAAAAAUAAAUUACAAGUUCAUGGACAUAGAUAAAUCUCUAACAAAAUGUUGAGCAAAUAAAAAUUCACAAAAGAAUUUUACAGUAGGAUUCCAUUUAUAUAAAGAACCAAUGAAAGUAAAUAGCCUAAGGGUACAAACAUAAGUAAAUCUAUAAAUUAAAGCAAAAGAAUGAUAAGCACAAAUUCAAGGCAGUGAUUUCCUCUAGCUACAGAGGGAAGGGAAUGAAGUAAGGAAAAGGUGAACAAGGAGCUUAAAAGUAUGAUAAUUAUAUGUGUUGGUUUGGCCAAACAGUCCUGGUUUACCUAGCACAGUUCUGGUUUGCUGAUUGCCUGGUGUAAUGAUUAAUAGCACUGUCACUCCCCAAAUUGUCAUUGUUUGGAUAAUGAAUUAUAUGCAUCCUUUUUAGAGUAAAAGUAACUUUUUUCUCCUUAAACUGGAUGGAGGGCAUGUGGGUCUUUAUCAUUCUUCCUUAUACAUGUAUUUUUAAAAUAUAAUUUAAAACUAGUCAGUAUUUUAAAAUAUAAUUUAAAACUUUAGUCAGUGUUAGUCACUGUGUUAGUGACAACACAGUAAAAAAAAAAAAUUUGUAAGAUAAAUAAAUAUAAAUAGGAUCCAAAUGAAACUCUUUUCAUCUGGGUGGAUACAGGGAUAAAUAACAUACUAUAUGCCUGGCAUUGUAUUAAGCUUGUUACUGAUAUUACUUCAUAUUCAUAGCAAGACAUUUAGGUAGGCAUUAUUAUCUCCAUUUUACACAUGAAGAAUCUAAGACACAAAGACUAUACAUAAUUUAACCAAAGUCAUAUUAUAUGUGACAGCGCAGAAUUUGAACCCAAGCAGUGUGACAUCAGACUACAUGCUCUUAACUACCAUGCCAGAGCCCAUAACAGAUUUUCUUAACCUUUUUUAUGCCACAGAUCCCUUUGACAGUCUGGUGAAGCCUAUAGAGUCCUUUUUAGAGUAAUGUCUUUUGUACAUCAAAUAUAAUGCACAGGAUUAUAAAUAAAAUCAAUUAUACUAAAAUAUGGUAAUCAAAAUAUUUAACAAAUGUAUACUAUACCUGUACUUUUUAUUAAUGCAUUAAAUAAAUAAUAAAAUCUAGCAGGUCUAAUGAAUAAUUUUGAAAUAAUAAUAAUAAUUGUAUCUUGAGAUAUCUACAAAUAUAGUAAUGUGAUAGGAAAAUGUUUGUGAUUUUGAUAAGUGAAAAAGUCACCAAAAUACUUGUAAUAACACUGUGGUUUUUUGCAUAUGUUCACAAUGGAAAGAAAUCCUAAAUCUUACUUCGAAGUUAGCAAGAAUUACAAUAUUUUUCCCACCCCAAUUCAUGGCCCUCUACUUUAUGGUCUUAUUUCAUAGGCUUUCUGACAUGUUUUGCUUCAAAGAGGUCCUAUUCCCCAUCCCAUUUCCUAUCUUCUGGUUUGGGAUUACACUCAAGAUGUGAUAUACAGAUAGAUUAGUUUAUUAGAAAGAAAAUAUUUUUCCACAUGGCGAACUUUAGUGGAGGCUAACAAAUCAGAAUGUGCUAAAAUAGCCAUGUGUACAUAUAGACAAUGGGAAGCUUGGAACUGCUUUAGCAUUUUAUACAAAAGACUUAAAAGUAAUUUCAGCUGGGCACUGUGGCUCGGGCCUGUAAUCCCAGCACUUUGGGAGGCUAAAGUGAGAGGAUUGCUUGAGGCCAGGAGUUCAAGACCAGCCUGGGCAACAUAGUGAGAC
rnacentral:lncRNA from 10 species